UACGAAGGGUGCAAGCGUUACUCGGAAUUACUGGGCGUAAAGCGUGCGUAGGUGGUGAGUUAAGUCUGAUGUGAAAUCCCCGGGCUCAACCUGGGAAUGGCAUUGGAUACUGGCUCGCUAGAGUGCGGUAGAGGGUGGUGGAAUUCCCGGUGUAGCAGUGAAAUGCGUAGAUAUCUGGAGGAAUACCGGUGGCGAAGGCGGCAUCCUGGACCGACAUUGACGCUGAACGGCGAAAGCUAGGGGAGCAAACGGG
rnacentral:rRNA from 1 species